CCUCCUCCUUUGCCCACCAGCAAAACUCCUCCAGCAGUGAACUGCAGAGCUGCAAAUCCCCCCCCCGCACCCUUCCCAGCGGCCUCAGCCGGUACCAGCGAGGCUGGAUUUGUCUCCCAGCAGCUAAGCUUAGCGCAAGGUGUGCAGCUAUUUGAGAUUAUCAAACCUUUUCUCCUCAACCAGCUCAUCUCCAUCCAGCCCGACCCCAAACACCCUAAAACCCCGACCGAGGGAAGCUCUCGCCCCACUCCUCCUGACAGCAUCGCUGCUCGGGGUCCCGGCCAGAGCCCCGAGGCGUCGGGCAGGCUGGGGAGAGCCCUUCUCCCCACGGCGUGUGAGCAGGAGCCGUGCCGGCAGCAGGAUCCAGCCCUGGCAGGGAUCAGGUCUCGUAGCCAUAGCAGCGGGGUAUUUAUUACAGCCCGGCCGCACUCCACCCCGGGCUGGCGGACUUUAGCCCUUAAUCGAAUAGAAAAGUAGCAGCAGACGCCUUCGAUCCCGACGGCGGAGUAAAACACAAGGAGGGCCCCCAAAAUAAUGGCAAAAUUUCUGUCCCAGGAUCAAAUUAAUGAGUUCAAGGAAUGUUUUUCUCUGUACGACAAGAAACAAAAAGGCAAGAUAAAAGCCUCCGACCUGAUGGCAGUGAUGCGGUGCCUGGGAGCCAGCCCGACGCCAGGAGAGGUGCAGAGACACCUGCACUUGCACAAGAUCGACAGAAAUGCAGAGUUGGAUUUCUCCACUUUCCUGAACAUAAUGUACAGGCAAAUGAAGCAGGAGGAACCCGAGAGGGAAAUCCUCACAGCCCUGUCCAUGAUCGACAGGCAGAAGAGAGGCAUUAUCACCAUUUCGGAGCUGAGAGCCAAACUUACAAGACUAGGAGAAAAGCUUUCCGAGGAAGAAGGAAAAAUGCUUUUGAAUGGUUUAGCCUGUACAGAAGAGAACGUAUUAAGGUAGAUGGCUGCUGUCGCUGCCAAGGCGUUCCCAAAGCCGGAAUGAAAAGCAUCGCUCCGGCCAGUUGAUGACCUGCUGAAAGAAGCCAAAGUUGGACCAAAUGGAACUAUAAAAUACGAAGAAUUUGUUCACGCUGUUUGUCUUCCCACAGUUGACUACUGAGGUUGAAAACACGGGAUUUGCUAAGAGAAAGCCCUGAAGCUUUUUCGACUUCCAUUUCUCCUAGUUACUACUUGGACUCAAGAAUCAUCAUUUGCCUUUAAAAAUCCUUAUUUUGCCUUGAUGACAGUGCUUACACUUCCAGAGGUUCCCACCUCGUUUCUGGAGAAACGCCAUCACAAAAUGUGAGCUGUUAUUUAAAUAAACUGAAUGUAAC